GCGGGGGUUGCCAAGCCCGGUCAAAGGCGCAGGGCUUAGGACCCUGUCUCUGAGGAGUUCGCGGGUUCGAAUCCCGCCUCCCGCA
rnacentral:tRNA from 1 species